CUCUAUCCUUCCAGCCACGCGUGUCGUCUUCUCUCGUACGGCAGUCUUCCAGCUCUCUCUACCGGCCGCGCGUCUCCCUGCCCAGCGCUCCCUCCCUGCUUCUUCUUCUCUACUCCCUCGCGGCGACCUUCCCUCUGCCAUCUCCAGGCCCGCGCCCCUGCUCUGCUCUCUGUCCGGCCAUGGCCGCCGUGACGAGACCUCCUUCCCCGCACGCAGCUUUUCCCCUGCUCCUCCGGCGCCGCGAGCUCCAGAUCGGAUUUGGUCUAGCCGCGCCCAGCUCGCCAUGGCCACCGAGCUCGGCCCUGCCCUCAACGUCGGCCAUCUCCUGCUCCCUCCAAUGGCGCGCGCGCCCUCCCUGCUCCAUCUCCCUCCGCGCCACGCUCCUCUCUACCGCGUUCCCGCUCAGCCGACCCCGUGGCUCCCUGCGCGCGCGUUCUCCCGCGCCCAGCUAUCUUCUCUAUCCCUCAGCUCUCCCUCGCGUCUUCAUCUCCCUGCUGAGCUCGGUUCCUUGGCUGCAUGCUCAUUCCCCGCCCCAAGCUCACCGCGGUCUAUUGCUUCAUCUCUUUCUCGCGUCGUUCGGUCUGCGUGUCCCCGCGCCCGGUUUUCGUUCCCGUCACGCCGAUCCGAGCUCGCCGUCCCCUUUCCUUGUUGUGGGGGUUGGUCGUUGCUGCUAGGCUCCGCUGAUGCGCGCGAUUUGCCAGCCAAGUUCCUUCACCGGUGGUCUCCUCGUCACGUGCGCUGGUCGCCUUGUGUGCUCGGCCACGGGCGACAUCGAGCCGUCGAAUCCCGCCCUCCUCAACUUGGCACUCCUUACAUAGCCGUCAUCGCUCGUAUUCCUUACUGUGCGCAUGAGCUUCACUGUUUGGUUGUCAUCGCGCGAGCUCCUCUGCUAGACCCGUCGUCAUUUUUCAGCUCCUUACCGUGCUCGGCUGUUCAUCGUCAUCAUCCGGCCGUGCGAUGAAUUGACAGCCCCGGCACUCGUCCUUUGUCCGUGUCGUUUAGACCAUGGUUUCCUUGUCCGAGCUUCAAAUCCAUAGUUUGUUGCUCCCGUCAACUAGCUCGCCAUGACGUUUCUCGCCAGUGAAGCAUAGUCGCCGCGCCCUAUGUCCUUGUCGUGCUCGUGAAGAAGUUGUGGAGUUGCCGUCAUUCAUCUCCACGUCGUGGGUACAACAACGUUGUCGUUCACUCCACGGAACUCGUCGUCAACCUUAUCUCCAGGAGACUGAUCCUGGAGUUGCAUGAAAAUGUGAGAAAAGUCCGUGCAACAAUUGCUAGGAGCUCGACCGGAUGUCUAAACUGAGAGCCGUCGUCGCCCUCGCAGUUAUCAAAUCGAUUCGAUCGUGGUACGAUAAUUAAACACAUGAUGUGGAAAACCAGAGCUGAGUCAACCAUAAGAUAAUGUUAAGCGUGAGCUUUUCCACAAGAUGAUGCUGAUGGAUUAACCUGAAGAUGGAUAAUCUAAACAAGUGCCAAGACAAAGGAUGGUCGUCAAGUGAUCGACGUCUAACAAACACUAACGUAGUGUUAUCCAGGUUACGAGUCACUUGAUUGUGAUUGGUGUUAAGCGCCGGUGGGCACGACCUUCUAUAAGUUUAAGUACUUCUUCUAUACUUCUUAUUGAGUAUGGUCACUUAAGCUAGCAUAUAUAUUUCAAAACUACAAAUAAUUUAUAACAGUUCAAAGUUAUUUCCUUGAAUCACUUUUGUAAUCACUCCGAUCAUGUACAUUGUAAACUUGAUGUAACUUGUAAAAUUUGGAAAUAAGAUUUCCGCUGCAAAAUGUUGGUGUGUGAUUUGUGUUUACUUAAUCCUGUGAUCCUGGUUGUAAGUGGUUUAUCUGAGGUCCUUGGGGCACUCGGACAGAUCCUGUUAAGUUAUCUGGUGCACAUGCAUAGCUGUUGGGGACUUGUCCUCAAAUACUAUGAAUUAAGAACAAGGCAACACAAGAUGUUAAAUGUUAAUGCCCUUCGUCCUUCGAAGCAUUAUUUCCCCUAGGAAAUAAUGAUCUCCAGACGAAGGUUAUGAAGGUCAUACCUUCAUCAUUGUAGUAUAUGUCAAAUAAAAGAAGAGGCAUAUGACAUACAGGAGACAACAUAAACAAUCAUAUAACAUUAUUAACUCAUUCUUAAUUAUAUAAUCAUGGAAAGAAAGAAACAAUACUGAAUUACAAAAGUACCUUCGGCUUGACAGAAGGCAAGAAAGUACAAGCAUGAUGCAAAAAGCAAGUACCAGUCAGCGUGAACAGUAUGGGGGUACUGUUCACCUAUUUAUAAGCACAAGGCGCAACCUAUGAGAAAUUACAGUCAUGCCCUUUACAUUUACUAUUGUCUUAUAGAAAAAUCUAUGAGGACUGGAUUGCCUUUUCCCCUUUAGGUCGGUUCCUUUUCCCGCGAUUGAGCCGAAGCUUCUUUGCGCAUAGCUUCGAAGCUGCGUCAUCCUUCGUCUCGCCCAUGCCCUUCAUCGUAUAUGCCUUUAAUCCUGAAUCCGAAGGUGCCUGUAUAUAAACCAUGCUUGAAAGACACUGCUAAAUU
rnacentral:misc_RNA from 1 species